rnacentral:rRNA from 1 species
GAUGAACGCUAGCUACAGGCUUAACACAUGCAAGUCGAGGGGCAGCAUGGUCUUAGCUUGCUAAGGCCGAUGGCGACCGGCGCACGGGUGAGUAACACGUAUCCAACCUGCCGUCUACUCUUGGACAGCCUUCUGAAAGGAAGAUUAAUACAAGAUGGCAUCAUGAGUCCGCAUGUUCACAUGAUUAAAGGUAUUCCGGUAGACGAUGGGGAUGCGUUCCAUUAGAUAGUAGGCGGGGUAACGGCCCACCUAGUCUUCGAUGGAUAGGGGUUCUGAGAGGAAGGUCCCCCACAUUGGAACUGAGACACGGUCCAAACUCCUACGGGAGGCAGCAGUGAGGAAUAUUGGUCAAUGGGCGAGAGCCUGAACCAGCCAAGUAGCGUGAAGGAUGACUGCCCUAUGGGUUGUAAACUUCUUUUAUAAAGGAAUAAAGUCGGGUAUGGAUACCCGUUUGCAUGUACUUUAUGAAUAAGGAUCGGCUAACUCCGUGCCAGCAGCCGCGGUAAUACGGAGGAUCCGAGCGUUAUCCGGAUUUAUUGGGUUUAAAGGGAGCGUAGAUGGAUGUUUAAGUCAGUUGUGAAAGUUUGCGGCUCAACCGUAAAAUUGCAGUUGAUACUGGAUAUCUUGAGUGCAGUUGAGGCAGGCGGAAUUCGUGGUGUAGCGGUGAAAUGCUUAGAUAUCACGAAGAACUCCGAUUGCGAAGGCAGCCUGCUAAGCUGCAACUGACAUUGAGGCUCGAAAGUGUGGGUAUCAAACAGG